UACGAAGGGGGCUAGCGUUGCUCGGAAUCACUGGGCGUAAAGGGCGCGUAGGCGGCCAGCACAAGUCAGUUGUGAAAUCUCCGAGCUUAACUCGGAAAGGUCAACUGAUACUGUGCGGCUAGAGUGCGGAAGGGGCAACUGGAAUUCUUGGUGUAGCGGUGAAAUGCGUAGAUAUCAAGAGGAACACCUGCGGCGAAGGCGGGUUGCUGGGCCGACACUGACGCUGAGGCGCGAAGGCGUGGGGAGCGAACGGG
rnacentral:rRNA from 1 species